rnacentral:rRNA from 1 species
UUUCCGUAGGUGAACCUGCGGAAGGAUCAUUACCUAGAGUUGUAGGCUUUGCCUGCUAUCUCUUACCCAUGUCUUUUGAGUACCUUCGUUUCCUCGGCGGGUCCGCCCGCCGAUUGGACAAUUUAAACCAUUUGCAGUUGCAAUCAGCGUCUGAAAAAACUUAAUAGUUACAACUUUCAACAACGGAUCUCUUGGUUCUGGCAUCGAUGAAGAACGCAGCGAAAUGCGAUAAGUAGUGUGAAUUGCAGAAUUCAGUGAAUCAUCGAAUCUUUGAACGCACAUUGCGCCCCUUGGUAUUCCAUGGGGCAUGCCUGUUCGAGCGUCAUUUGUACCUUCAAGCUCUGCUUGGUGUUGGGUGUUUGUCUCGCCUCUGCGUGUAGACUCGCCUCAAAACAAUUGGCAGCCGGCGUAUUGAUUUCGGAGCGCAGUACAUCUCGCGCUUUGCACUCAGAACGACGACGUCCAAAAGUACAUUUUUACACUCUUGACCUCGGAUCAGGUAGGGAUACCCGCUGAACUUAAGCAUAUCAAUAAGCGGAGG